CAGUCGAACGGUCCGCUUCGGCGGAUAGUGGCGCACGGGUGCGUAACACGUAUGCAACCUACCUUACAUUGGGGGAUAGCCUUUCGAAAGGGAGAUUAAUACCGCAUAAGACAGUAGCUGGGCAUCCAGUAGCUGUUAAAGAUUUAUCGAUGUAAGCUGGGCAUGCGUCCAAUUAGUUAGUUGGUGAGGUAACGGCUCACCAAGACGAUGAUUGGUAGGGGAACUGAGAGGUCAAUCCCCCACACUGGCACUGAGAUACGGGCCAGACUCCUACGGGAGGCAGCAGUAGGGAAUAUUGGGCAAUGGACGCAAGUCUGACCCAGCCAUGCCGCGUGCAGGAAGAAGGCGUUCUGCGUUGUAAACUGCUUUUAUAUAGGAAGAAACGACCCUUGCGAGGGGCAUUGACGGUAUUAUAUGAAUAAGCACCGGCUAACUCCGUGCCAGCAGCCGCGGUAAUACGGAGGGUGCAAGCGUUGUCCGGAUUUAUUGGGUUUAAAGGGUGCGCAGGUGGUUUAUUAAGUCAGUGGUGAAAGACGGUCGCUCAACGAUUGCAGUGCCAUUGAUACUGAUAGACUUGAGUAAAGUAGAGGUGGGCGGAAUUGAUAGUGUAGCGGUGAAAUGCAUAGAUAUUAUCAAGAACUCCGAUUGCGAAGGCAGCUCACUUGGCUUUUACUGACACUCAUGCACGAAAGUGUGGGUAUCAAACAGGAUUAGAUACCCUGGUGGUCCACACUGUAAACGAUGAUAACUAGGUGUUGGCCGAAUCUGGUCAGUGCCACAGCGAAAGCGUUAAGUUAUCCACCUGGGGAGUACGCCGGCAACGGUGAAACUCAAAGGAAUUGACGGG
rnacentral:rRNA from 1 species